rnacentral:lncRNA from 1 species
CGCCAACACAAUAUCAUACCCACGGCAUAAUUACCUUCCAUCUACAGAUGAAAGUACCUGUCCUCAAAUUAAGUUAAAACUGUAUGAGGCCCAGCAGACUCAUAUGAGUAGAAGUCCCAGGCCCCCAGGCUGACAGUGCUUCAGAUAGAGUUAAUAUAAAAAGGUGUGACUGAGGGAGGGACCAGAGAGAGACCAGAGAGAGAGAAUGAGAGAUAGAGAGAAGAUGGAGCCCG